rnacentral:rRNA from 1 species
CAGCCGCCGCGGUAUUACGUAGGUGGCAAGCGUUGUCCGGAAUUAUUGGGCGUAAAGGGCUCGCAGGCGGUCUCUUAAGUCUGAUGUGAAAGCCCCCGGCUCAACCGGGGAGGGUCAUUGGAAACUGGGAAACUUGAGUGCAGAAGAGGAGAGUGGAAUUCCACGUGUAGCGGUGAAAUGCGUAGAGAUGUGGAGGAACACCAGUGGCGAAGGCGACUCUCUGGUCUGUAACUGACGCUGAGGAGCGAAAGCGUGGGGAGCGAACAGGAUUAGAUACCCCCGUAGUCCCUGUCUCUUAUAC